rnacentral:rRNA from 1 species
UUUCUUUGCUGGCGACCGGCGCACGGGUGAGUAACACGUAUUCAACCUGCCCUUUACUCGGGGAUAGCCUUUCGAAAGAAAGAUUAAUACCCGAUAGCAUAAUGAUUCCGCAUGGUUUCAUUAUUAAAGGAUUCCGGUAAAGGAUGGGGAUGCGUUCCAUUAGGUUGUUGGUGAGGUAACGGCUCACCAAGCCUUCGAUGGAUAGGGGUUCUGAGAGAAAGGUCCCCCACAUUGGAACUGAGACACGGUCCAA